AGAGUUUGAUCCUGGCUCAGGAUGAACGCUGGCGGUCUGCUUAACACAUGCAAGUCGAACGGAGUACUUCGGUACUUAGUGGCGGACGGGUGAGUAACGCGUGAGGAUCUGCCCUCAGGAGGGGGACAACGACUGGAAACGGUCGCUAAUACCCCAUAUGCCGAGAGGUGAAAUGUUUUUUCGCCUGAGGAUGAGCUCGCGUCAGAUUAGCUAGUUGGCGGGGUAACGGCCUACCAAGGCGACGAUCUGUAGCUGGUCUGAGAGGAUGAUCAGCCACACUGGGACUGAGACACGGCCCAGACUCCUACGGGAGGCAGCAGUGGGGAAUUUUCCGCAAUGGGCGUAAGCCUGACGGAGCAAGACCGCGUGAGGGAUGACGGCCUAAUGGUUGUAAACCUCUUUUCUCUGGGAAGAUAAUGACGGUACCAGAGGAAUAAGCCUCGGCUAACUCCGUGCCAGCAGCCGCGGUAAUACGGAGGAGGCAAGCGUUAUCCGGAAUUAUUGGGCGUAAAGCGUCCGUAGGUGGUUAAUCAAGUCAGCUGUUAAAGAGCGGAGCUCAACUCCGUUAGAGCGGUUGAAACUGAUUGACUAGAGUUUGGUAGGGGUCGAGGGAAUUCUCAGUGUAGCGGUGAAAUGCGUAGAUAUUGGGAAGAACACCGGUGGCGAAAGCGCUCGACUGGGCCUGAACUGACACUGAGGGACGAAAGCUAGGGGAGCGAAAGGGAUUAGAUACCCCUGUAGUCCUAGCCGUAAACGAUGGAUACUAGGUGUUGCUCGUUAUCGACCCGAGCCGUGCCGAAGC
rnacentral:rRNA from 1 species